GUACCAUGCCAACAGAAAGCCUUGUUACAAACUGAGCAGGCCCACAUCAGUCAAAGCAUCAUCAUCUUUCAGAAAAGGCAAGGUCCCCUUUUUGGGGACUGACUCAAAAUUGAUAACUAUAACAGAUUUGUAUGGUAUAGUGGCAGGUACUUGGUGUAUGCCCAGGAAAUUCUCUGACUUGUUUCUGGUUUGAUGGGAGUUAGAUAGUCAUUAGUUUGCCUGCCAGAAUUGGCUUCAACUUUCAUAUGUCUUCUUUUCUCUUUUUUAUUACCACUGUCAGUAGAGGAUGGUGUAUUUAUGGGGCAGAAUGUAUACACAACUUUGUCAUUUUAGAGGAAUCAAUGAAAAUACCUCAACUAGAUAGUAAUAAACUAUUUAAUUUUAGUUACAAUUAAAAAAUUCAGCAAAUAUAAGUCAUUUCAGACUCCAUUUUGAUUGAAAAGAAUCAAAGCUGGAAUAAUCUGGUCAAAGCCAGGUGAAACUGCUUGUGGUAAAUUGCUGUUCAGUAACAAAGAAUAUGGAGAUGAUACCAGGAUAUUCCAAACCAGUAAUUACUGGACUAACAGAGCAUGGAUGCAACUUCUGAUGGGUGAUAGGGUUGAAGCAACAGGAUGAGAGAUCUCAAGCGUGCUACUGAAUGUUGUGCUCUGACAAAACUACAUGGCUUCCUUUAUCAAGAAAGCUAUAUUAAAAUAUUAUAUUAUUAUUUUUCAC